rnacentral:rRNA from 1 species
UACGUAGGGGGCGAGCGUUGUCCGGAUUUACUGGGCGUAAAGGGUGAGUAGGCGGUUGUAUAUGUCAGGUGUGAAAGGCUAUGGCUUAACCAUGGUUAGCACUUGAAACUGUACAACUUGAGUGCAGGAGAGGUAAGUGGAAUUCCUAGUGUAGCGGUGAAAUGCGUAGAUAUUAGGAGGAACACCAGUGGCGAAGGCGACUUACUGGACUGUAACUGACGCUGAGUCACGAAAGCGUGGGUAGCAAACAGGAUUAGAUACCCCGGUAGUCCCU